AGCGAACGCUGGCGGCGUGCUUAACACAUGCAAGUCGAACGUGAAAUGUAGCAAUACAGAGUAAAGUGGCGUACGGGUGAGUAACACGUGGGUAAUCUACCAAAGAGCCUGGAAUAACCGACCGAAAGGCUGGCUAAUACUGGAUAGUUCAAAUGAAAUAUAAUGUUUCGAUCGGGAAAGGGAGCGAGCAAUCGCCUUCACUUUUUGAUGAGCCCGCGUCUGAUUAGCUAGUUGGUAGGGUAAUGGCCUACCAAGGCGACGAUCAGUAGCUGGUCUGAGAGGAUGAUCAGCCACACUGGAACUGAAACACGGUCCAGACUCCUACGGGAGGCAGCAGUGGGGAAUCUUGCGCAAUGGACGAAAGUCUGACGCAGCCACGCCGCGUGAGUGAAGAAGGCCUUCGGGUUGUAAAGCUCUGUCGGAAGGGACAAAAACGUUUAAGGUUAAUAGCCUUAGAUCUUGAUGGUACCUUCAAAGGAAGCACCGGCUAACUUCGUGCCAGCAGCCGCCGUAA
rnacentral:rRNA from 1 species